rfam:Ruminococcus sp. DSM 100440 contig00002, whole genome shotgun sequence.
GGGCGUGUAGCUCAGUCGGUAGAGCACUUGACUUUUAAUCAAGUUGUCCGGGGUUCGAAUCCCCGCACGCUCA